rnacentral:lncRNA from 1 species
GUGGCUUUCAUAUGAAAAAAAAAUUACUACACAGUUGUGUAUUCUUAUACAAUCAUAAAUGUACAUGUACAGAAAUGUAAACCUACUUGAAAUUGAAACAGAUUUUCUGAGUAAGAGACAACAUUAUAACACAGUUAAGCAGGCAGUGGUUUGUCAGUCUUUAUUAAACUUUAAUGUUUACCAAUUUUCAGAUGCAUUGUGUUUUGUAUAUAGGACCAAGUAAAAAUAUCCGUAUAGUGUAUGAGGUUCAUGAGUAACUGUAUUUACCAAUUUCGUUCACAAAUAAUUUUUAGGAGGUAUUAGUUGUGAAAUGUGUCUACUGAAUCAGCAGUGGGGUAUUUGUUACAAUUUGGGUAACGUCAGUUGAGGCUGUUUUUAACGUCAUUUGUACCACAUUUGAUAUUUACGACAAACAUGUUUCUAAAGCUGAAUAAUUGAUAGACAAUUUAAGACAUUAACAUUGCAUGAGGUAUUUAGAUAAUUUAAACUCGUUAACUAAGCGACUCUUUCCACAUUCGCCGCUCCACUAGUACACUUACAUGUUCAAAUCGCCAUUCCUUUAUACCAACAUGCUGUGGAAUUUUGGAUCUUAAUUAGAUCAUUGAUUGUUUUCUUGUUUGGAACAAGAAAGGUAACUCUGACGUGAAAUAAAAUUUUGGCAUUUGGUAAUCGCUAUUUAAUACUAUUCUCUACCGUAUAUUUAAAAAAUUGAGACCGACGUGAACAAUUAAGCAAAUUGACAAGUGAUUAUUUCAAAUAGAU